GAUCCUGGCUCAGGAUGAACGCUAGCUACGGGCUUAACACAUGCAAGUCGAGGGGCAGCAUGAACUUAGCUUGCUAAGUUUGAUGGCGACCGGCGCACGGGUGAGUAACACGUAUCCAACCUUCCCGUUACUCUGGGAUAGCCUUUCGAAAGAAAGAUUAAUACCGGAUAGUAUCGAGAGAUUGCAUGAUAACCCGAUUAAAGAUUUAUCGGUAACGGAUGGGGAUGCGUUCCAUUAGAUAGUAGGG
rnacentral:rRNA from 1 species